GCCUUCUUUAGAGGAUAAGGUUGUUAGUUGGCAUCAGUAUAGGCUGUUCUCAAGCCAAGGCCAAGUGAGUGUCCUUAAAAUGCAGAGAGGAGGGAGAAAGGAGGGAGAAAGGGUUUUGGCAGAUAUCUUAUUAAAUGAAAUCUCUAAACAAACACAACAAUAAAUCCCACUUGAUAAUAAGUGACGCAUCUACAGCAAACUCCAGAAAGGUUGUUCGUUGAGUGGGUUCAUAGUAAAGGUGGCAGGUAGCCUCGCAGUUAGAGCGUUGGGCUAGUAUGUGAAAGGUCACUGGUUUGAAUUCCCAAGCAGACAAGGUGAAAAAUCGGUUGAUGUGCCCUUGAGCAAGGCAGUUACCCCUAAUUCUCUCCAGGGGUGUUGUACUACUAUGGCUGACUGGUUAAAACAACACUGCAUCCAUCCAGUGUAUGUGACAAUAAAACAUAUUUUUUAUGAUUAUUUGGGUAAGGCUUUGUAGGGGAGAGUGGGGUAAGUUGAGCCACCCUUGUUUCUAGGAAACCAUACACAAAAUGAAUUAUUUGACCAAAUAUUUAGGAAGAGGUCAUUUCAUGGACUCCGUGAAGGGAUAAACUACACUGAAAAAGUGGGACAGGAGAAACUGUAUCUAGGCCAACCUGCAUCUCCACCAGUAUUUGAGUGGAGGAUACUGUCUGCAAUGGAAAAAAGGUCAACACGGUGCAACAGUCCACUCCCAUUAUGGAAAUGCAUCCCAAAAUUCUCCAAAAUCCACCAUAUCCCAAGUCUCAUCUUAAAGGCUGCUGAACAUCUCUUCCAUGCUUCAGGGAGUGUGACAUAAUCUGUGUGGAUGGACUAAUUGACUACUUGAUUGAGUUCCCUGAAACAAUUGAUCCAGCCUAGCAGCAAGUCAACACCUGACUCCGGACUUCGUUUUCCCCGUUGUAGACAGAAUCCAUGAGGGCCUAAACAUCUCUCUGCAUUGUGCCACUCAGGAUUAGAGGAGAUGGAUGGACAUUGAAAAUAGAGAGGGUCUGGAAUUCUCCCCUGGAGGACUCAGUCAUGCUGAACGCUGACAUCUGAACGCAGCAGGGGGACUGCAUGCCUACUGCCUUGACUUCAGUACUUCCUGCAGUCAAACGACCAAAUCGCCCUCUAGUGGCCUCAUGGGUGGAAUGUUAUUCAUAAUUUCCUAAUUAAUAAAUAUUUUUUUAUCCGGUG
rnacentral:lncRNA from 1 species